CUUGAAGUGGUGUGCUGUUACUCUGCAUGGGCAAGUGCCUGAAGCCUUCUGCUGGGAUAUGGUGCUACUCUGCUGCAAACAGCUGUGAAGGCACAUGGGCCAUUCAAGAGAAAUGCCUUUUACUCAGAAAUGGUGGAUGCUGAUGAAGAUCAGAAAUUCUGCAGAGAGUGAAGAAGCCCUAAGUAACAAGCGCUAAAGCCAGAACUGGUAUUUACAAAGGGAUUUAGGUUUAGAAAUUGAUAUCGUCGUGUGUCUUGAAGAUGGGGAUAGUCAUGAGUGGGAAAGUAAAGCACUUUAAAAACAUAUUGACCAAGUUAGUUACACAUAAAAGGACUUUGGAGCCAGAAAGAAGAAAAAAGCACUUCUAAUUAUAAAUCAAAGAGACUCCACCAACUUCAGAGAAGUUGGAGAGAAAGCCAGGAUGAGAGAAGCUCCAUGUUGUGGAGAAAUUGAGCCCAGCAAAAGGACACUGAGAGGAUCCUAUCCCAUCUAUUUCUUAAAAGUGGUCAGGGGAGGAUGAUGAGGUAAUGAUAUAAGUAUUUGUUUUGUCCAUGCCUACCAGUACCUUA